rnacentral:rRNA from 1 species
AUGAGGCACUAUUUUGUGGAGAAUCUCACAUACCCCGAGUCGUACUUUCAUCGCCGGUUUAGGAUGAGAACCGAGUUGUUCAGGCGCAUUGCAGAGAAACUAGCGAGCCAUGACCGGGUUUUUCAGCAGAGGAGGAAUGUCGCCGGAGAGCUCGGGCAUAGCACCUUUCAGAAGGUGACAGCUGAGGGAGUCCUGGAUUAA